ACUCUGUUACCAUUGAGACAGUUUCAAGUAGAACGAGUCACCGUGUAAAAUAAACCGUACUAUUAUAGCUGAUCAUUGGCUGUUUAUGACAUAGAAUACUAUUCACCGACGUUUUUAGCAAACUGCGAUUGUCAUGACUACCUCAGUACCUCUCGAUCCUCGUUAUAAUUAACAUUAUUAUCUUGCUAUACGUGGUGUUGGCUUUUAUUUUCCGUUUCACUUUUGCAAUUUCAUCUAUUUUGUCUUGGUCUAACUAGUGUGCUAUCGUAUCAUGCUAUCGUACCAUGUUAGUUUACAAUGCUUUUAGUCAUUAGUGUCGCUCUUUUGUGAUAUUUAAUGAUCAAUCUGCAGCACUUAGUUCUCUAUUCAUCCAUCUGCGAAGAACAUAUUAGCUCACUUUUGAUUAUUUGAACCUUUGGUUAUUGGUACAUCUGUCAGUGUCAAUGCAAUCACGUCUACGAUUUACUUUAUAACGAAGCAUCCUUCAUCCUAGUUAUCAUAGACAUUAGACAUGGAGUAAAUUAAACUGACUCUACUAACAAUCAGGUAAAAUAUGACUUUACGUAUUUGCACUGGUCCCAGUUAUUUCGUGUGUUUUAAGUAGCACAUCCCUGUUUUCUGUUCUCUGACCGAUAGACUUAAUAAAUCAAUGUGUGAUUAUUGUUUAAGAAAGUUGCCGGUAAAUAUCUUUUAUCGGAAAGCCUGAUCAUUAAGUUGCACUAUAUAUAUAGAUAGUGUUACUGAUUCUGAGAAAGAAUAAGGCAUAGAGCUAGCAUUAUUUCUCAUUACCUCAUACCUGAUUAGGUUGACAUUCACCCGGGACCUUAGUCGUGCUCAAUGCUCUUUGACACAAUUUAUAUGGUGUCAUGUCAUGGUGUCAUAGGAUAUUGGUAAUUUCUUUAUUGAAAGUCUCGCAUUGUCGUCCUCAUUUUGGCUUCAUCUAUCCAUCUUAAACUGCCAAAUAUAAAAUCAUGGAGUUUAACAUGCAAUUGCGUACACACUUAAAAAUUCUCGUUAAUCCUCACAUCUGUUCUUUUUCUCAAAUUCUAGGCGAACAACUGUUUAAUUCAAACUACUGUUCAAUCGAAAUCGAAAUUUUAAUUCACAUUCUUAUUUGCCAUUUCAUGUUAGAUAUAAUAUAAGUAGCAGUGGACGAUUUCCGUUACCUCAGCUCUGUAGUCUGUAAUGUACUCUGCCAAUUGCAACACUUGACUAAAUUUAUUUUAUAUAAUUAUACUGUUUGACACUUUUAUAUAAUUUGCUAUUUUAAUUCUUGAAACUGUUGUAAAUCUUGUUACUUUGUUACCCUUACGUAUGCUAUUUAUGACAAUCUUCUACGGUAAAAUCGUUAUUAUCACUCCAAGCCUUACUUGGUAACACUGUCCAACCUUCUUCUUCAUAUUACUACAAAGCUGUCCUCAAUAACAUAAUAUAGUUUUCGUCAGUCUCACUCAGAACAUUUUUCUCAGGUACACAUUGGUUUACACUCAUUCUCAAUGUUUGGCCCUUAAAUCUUCCCCUGUACAUUCAACAAAUAUAUCCCGAAUAAGGUGUCCACUAUAUAGUUACAUAAUAUUAUGUUGUGAUCAAUGAUCGCGUUGUUUAUCGUGAGUUGGCACUUGAUGAAUGUAUAGUAGUGGGCCAAUCAGGUUUAUCAGCGUCUUUAUCAACGCACUGUUCAUUAUUAUUCUACCCUGAUUCCGGAUUCGCUAUAUAAGGAUUGAAUGGAAAAAAGGCAACCGCCCUGUGUAAACUAUUUGAGCUCAAUUAAAAUGUAAUAGCGUGUACAUGGUUAAUACUUAUAGAAUGGUGACUGGUGAGUGUGAUAGCUCCUUCCGCAUAAUAUAAGAUGAAUCUGAAUAUUUCAAACUCUGGUUACCACGGAGACAGUCUCAAGUAGAACAUACACGAGUUGCCGUGUCAAAUUAACCAUAAUAAUUCAGUACCAUUAUCAUUAGCGGUUUAUGACGUAGCUUAUAUCAGCAGCGAUGUUUUUACUGCUAGCUUUAUUGUUUUCAGUUGUCUCAUUUAUUUCAAAGGUACCGUACGCGUACCGGCCUUAACUUGUCUUUAACUAUAAAUUUAACGAUAUACGCAGUCAUUUUAGAUGUAACUGCACAUGCUGCCAUGCUGGUGAGAGUAUAAAGAUGUAACAAGCUUCGACGGUAAAAUCGUUAUAGUCACUCUAAACCCAGCCCAACUUGGCUAUACUGUCUAACCUUCUCCUUCAUAUUAAUAUAUAACUGCGAAGCUGUCCUCAACAACAUGAUAUAGUUUCCUCUGUCUCACUGAGAAAUUUUUCUAGGUAAAUUACAUAGCCUUCCUUGCUAUAUGAUAUAAUUUAUCGUGAGUUGGUACUUUAUACAUGUAUAGGGUGUAGUGGUCCAAAAGUCAGUGGGUAUAUGUUGGCCUCAAUUGCUCCGCCGUGUUUUACAUUUGAGAACUGUAGCUUUGCAGAUGUAAUGCCAUAUAACUGUUUUUACCAUGGUAAAUGGUUCGACGAGAUUCCGUCGUCGAAAUUUAUGGUUUUGCAUAUUUGCACAGUGGAACUAUCAGGUUUAUUAAGUAUCAACGUCUUUAUCAACGCAGCUGCGCAUAAUUAUUCUACUUAGUUUAACUCUCUUUCUAUUUUAGCUGAAUUCCAUUCCCUCCCUGGCCCUCUUCGAGAUGAUUGCUUCCGUCAAUUGCGAAGGACUCGCUCAAGAUAGAGAGAUAAUAUUAAGACGAGCGGAUCGAUAAAUCGAAGAAUUAAUUCAUAAACUCGAUUGUGUUUCAUAUAGUUUCAUCUGCAAGAUGGUAGACUUCUUCACUUCUCAGUUCUCAAAGCUCGACGAUCUUCAUAUUAUAUUAUACUUAUAGGAUAAAGGGUCAAAUUACAGAUAGUAAUUGAGAGCGGCUUUAGAAAUCAGGGAACGUGACCUAUACAUAGCAUAGAUUAUCUCUUAAUCAGCUGAAUUCUGUUCAACGAGUACAGUAGACACAAGACAACCUCAAGAAAGCUUCUAGACUACUCCGCUUACUGUCACAACACUAUUCAACCAACGAGUUUUCGAAGAUUAUCACCCUGGGACACUCUUCUGCUUCAUUCUCAAGGCACAACACCACAACUUCAGAAGAUGCAAGGAGCGUGUUCUUAACUCUCCAAAACGAAGGAGGGGAUCUGCAAUAAACAAAGACGAUAUAUUUUUGGCCAGAAAUUUGCGGAGUUCCUUCGUCUUGAUAUCGGUCUUGGCUGCAGUUGUAUCUCUCGAAAUCAGUGACGGUUUGAGGAGACACUGCAUCUCACUGCUCGGUGGAGACACGGGGAUAUGAAGCUGUUAAUCCCUCUUAAAGUCCACUGCACGUUGUCACAGAGCCUCAGUCCGAUCAGAGCAAGCAGCAAAGAUCAAAGGAGACUUUUCCUCCAAUGUCAAACAGAUAAAUUUCGACAGAAAACUUCUAGCAGACCUCGGAUGAUUUAGGAAAGUAAACAUACUUGCAAUCUGUAAGACAAGUGACUCUACAGGAACUAGCAAGAGGCAGAGAAAGUGAAGAAGAUUCGACGACCGAAGCCUAGCAGAUAAAAUAAUAGCCGAUGAAUUUGAUACGACAUCAUAAAAUACUGGAGUCCACAAAGGAGCAUGUCCUACUUUUCAGCCGCUCCUCAAUCGACAGAUCCUCUUGAUGGCUUGCAGACAUCACGUCCUUGAGGCGGAUCUUGUAAGAGGAUCUGCCUCUAAGCAACUGUUCGGUGACACAACAUCACUUGAAGUAACCCUUUUUAAGAUCAUGAAGACCUCCUGGGAAGAUCUCAAUCUGCAGAACAUUGUCCUUCCUGAUAUCCCUACUUGCAACAGGAACGGAAGAUCUUCUAUCCUUCAUUACUCAAAUCCGUCAACUCAACAACCAGCCCAGGAGAAUAAAAGGAAUUACUAGAGCUAAACUUAUCCAUGGAGAAAGCAUAGAGAUGAAGAAAGGAUGCGUCUUCCAGAUACAAAGACCUGGAGCUGACCACCAUGUCAGAUGGAUGGCUAAGUCCAUAUACAUUAUGAAAAUGAUUCUACUUCACUAGAUACCACUUCACUGGACGAAGAAGAGAGACGUGCAGAAGAUGGCUCACGUUGUUGUCUUCGUUUACUUAAGAGCUUGGUUCAACGCUCCUUUCCUUGAAUCUGCAGCCUCCGCCGACACCCGUUUGUUACACUUACAGAGUCUUCAGAAGUACAAGAGUGUGGACAGAGUAUUAGCCAUCAUCACGACAGUCCUCAAGACAUACCUUUAGAGCGAAGAACUCUCCUUGCAGCAAGAAUAGGCCAACAAACUCUUGAAGCAAUUCAAGUUGGAACUUGAAAACUUGUGUUCGGUUGUUAAUGUUAUUGAGCUUUAUGAACGUCAAAUAAGCCUAAUUGAUGAAAAAUUAUUCUGAUAUGUUUUGGUUUUAUGACCAGGGGUUAUGACAAAUAUAUAAUAAGGAUGUUGGUCUAGUUUCUCGUACGGGUUUUCAACAUACGCUUUAGUCCUACACUCUAGUUUGGGGUUGGAUUUUAAAUAGUCACUUGAAGUACGUGUUAAAGUAUCCUACGUGUUGGUCGAGUGUUGAGUGAUUAAACAUCUUGAUCGCAUGUUUAUUGUUUACUGUUUAGUGUAGACCUUGUUCAGUAGAAACUCAGUACGGUGGUCCGCGGUAAAUUUCAUUCUUUAUUAUACGAAAAUGCAUGACCUGCAUGAGGUAUGUUACCUGGGGACCCCAGGCUAUAAUGUUCCGCCGAAUAGAGAUUCGGCGGAAUGACAGACUAAGCGCCGCCCAGUAAGAGGUAUGAUAAUACUGGGUUUCGAAAUCUUUUAAAUAUCUAUUCGAUUGAGUCUUAUUACCUGGGGACCCCGUUUUAAAUUCUCAUAAACGUAUCAAUUGAAUAUAUUUACUAAAACUCAAGUCUCAUAUUAAAGUAUUAAUAUGACAACUGUGUUUAAGAACACAAAGCCCGGGGUCCCCGGGUAAAUUUAAAGCUAGGAAUCAUUAUAUUUAUAAGUGAAUUGUGUAUUUGGUACUGGCCAUAGCACUCCCGUCAAUCUAUUUGUCAUGUCAAUAGUUUACUGUUUACGAAUGAGUCCAUCAUGUACUGUUCUCUUUGAUGUAUGUAAUCAAAUUAUUAGAUUAUUAAAGUUAACAUUUUGUGAAAUGUCAAUCACUUUAUUAUAUUUACCUCAA